GGCCUUGUAGCUCAGCUGGUAGAGCAUCGGUGUACAAAUCCGAAGGUCGUGGGUUCGAAUCCCAGCGAGGUCG
rnacentral:tRNA from 1 species